UUCCUAGGAUCUAACUCAGGUUAUUAGCACAGUUUUUGUCACUGAGCAACAACAAUAAUACAAGGUUUUGCUGUGUAGCUCAAGCUCCCUGGUUCCAGGAUUACAGGCAUGUGAUCCCACCCUAGGCCUCCAUUUGCUUCGGAUCUGAGGUUGGUAGGACCCGAAGCUCCCGAGGGCUGACAGCACACCGCCCCAUGCUGCAGCGCUGCCCUGCUCUCCCCAGUAGUAACAGCCAUGUUUCCCUUGCAGGUUAACUGUCGGGAGCGAUGGGCGACUGGAGCUUCUUGGGGCGGCUGCUGGAGAAUGCGCAGGAGCACUCCACGGUCAUCGGCAAGGUGUGGCUGACUGUGCUGUUCAUCUUUCGCAUCCUGGUGCUGGGGGCGGCGGCCGAGGAGGUGUGGGGCGACGAGCAGUCGGACUUCACUUGCAACACGCAACAACCGGGGUGCGAGAACGUCUGCUACGACCGCGCUUUUCCCAUCUCGCACAUCCGCUUCUGGGCGCUGCAGAUCAUCUUCGUGUCCACGCCCACGCUCAUCUACCUGGGCCACGUGCUGCACAUCGUGCGCAUGGAGGAGAAGAAGAGAGAGCGGGAGGAAGAGAUGCUGAGGAGAGACAACCCUCAGCAUGGCCGUGGCCGCGAGCCGAUGCGUACAGUGAGUCCGCGGGACCCGCCACUGCGAGAUGACCGUGGCAAGGUGCGCAUUGCGGGCGCGCUGCUGCGGACCUAUGUCUUCAACAUCAUUUUCAAGACGCUCUUCGAAGUGGGCUUCAUCGCGGGCCAGUACUUUCUCUAUGGCUUCCAGCUGCAGCCACUUUACCGCUGUGACUGCUGGCCCUGCCCCAACACGGUAGACUGCUUCAUCUCUAGGCCCACAGAGAAGACCAUCUUCGUCAUCUUCAUGCUGGCUGUGGCCUGUGCGUCACUGGUGCUCAACAUGCUGGAGAUUUACCACCUGGGCUGGAAGAAGCUCAAGCAGGGGGUUACCAACCACUUCAGCCCCGAUGCCUCAGAAGCCACACACAAGCCCUCGGACCCCCUACCUCACACCUCCAGCUCUGGCCCACCCAGCGCCUCCAUUGGGUUCCCACCUUUCUACACACACCCUGCCUGUCCCCCGGUGCAGGCCAGGGCCACGGGGUUUCCUGAGGCUCCACCACCACCAGCAGACUUCACAGUGGUAACCCUGAACGAUGCGCAAGGCAGAGGCCACUCUGUCAAGCACUGCAAUGGCCUCCAUCUAAUCACAGAGCAGAACUGGGCCAACAGAGUGGCAGAGCAGCAGACUUCCGCUAGCAAGGCCUCUUCCGUAGCAUCCAGCCCCGAGGUUCGUAAGGCGCUCACGGACAGCAGUGGCAGCAGCCUGGAAGAGACUGCCUUGGUGGUGACGCCAGAGGAGGGAGAGCAGGCCUUGGCCACCACAGUGGAGAUGCACUCCCCACCCUUGGUCCUCCUGGAUCCAGGAAGGUCCAGCAAGGCCAGCAGUGGGCGGGCCAGACCUGGUGACUUGGCCAUCUAGCCAAAGUUUCCCCAGACAGCUUGAUAGGCCUUCCCUUUCGCCCUUAGAAACCAAAAACCAAAAUGCAUUUCAAAUCACCAGGUAGAAAGAGAGAGAGCCUGACAGCGCUGGCAUCCCCAGAAACACUGAACAAACCCGGUCAGGUGUCUGAUUUAAUGCUUGCUGUUCUUGUCGCUGUGAGGUAUAGUGGGGGUCACACCAGCAAGUCUAAGAUUGAGAGGGGGCGGGGUUGUUGGCUUUUCAAGAUGCUCCCAGCAGCGGUUGCUCCUGGACUCCUCGCAUCGGCAGUUACUAUUCUGCAGCGGUAAAGCAACAGGUGUUUGCAGUCCUUCAGUGGGAGACAAUUGGGUUUCCAUUCCUACGCUCUCCAAACAGCCCAGAGGCACAGAGACACUUAGCUCUAUCUCUGUGUGAUACUUUUAACUUAGAGUUGGAUUUCAUUUGGGAUAUUUGCCAAACUGUACUAAAAAAAGAUUUAGAGGGACUCUAUCUAGUGUCACUUGAGUUUCUGGAAUUGCGUAUGAAGUCCAGGCUGGCCAACUGCAGGCUGCUGCCCUCUAGAGAGGGGUUCUAUGGGACAGGGCCACAGACAUCACUGGUAGAGGCAGGUGGAGAUGCAGAGACGCUGGAGAACCCUUCAGAAGAGGAAAAUGACGACAGUGUGGCAGUUUGUUGCAGGAACCAAGGGGAAGGCAGCCCGAAAGACUUACUAGCUCUCACUCCAAACUGGCCUGUAAUUUUGCACGGAGCCCUCCUGUCGAAGCCUGCUGAUGUGCUGUCUCAUGGGAGUAGUCCUGGAACUGGGGACGCUACGGCAGGACGAUGCCGUGAGUCGAAGAUCAGCCAGUGCUACAAAAUUCCACGACAGUCUGGAAAUGGUUACCCCCCCCCCAGGAAAAAAUUUCUUUUCUUCCUACCUCCUCUGUUCUGGCACUCACAUCCAGGGAAGUAUUUAGUCAACUUCACCGAUUUGUUUUGAAGGACACAACCAGAGAGAAAAAAGAUUCUGCCGGCUAGGUGGGCGAUGUCAUAUACCAUGUCAAUACCAUGGUACAGCUAAAAGAAUAAUCUGAUAUAAUUGGGAAUACGUCUAAAAGGGUUGUCAUUAUCAGCAUGUUUUGAUUACAUCAGCCAUUUUUUUGACAGAGGGAUGGAGUCGGUUCCGUGGACAGCAUGCACGUGCACAUCUGGACUUUCCCUGGGGUCCCUUGCUGCACACCCACUGAUCAGCCACAAGGGCCUCAUUGACUUUUCCAGAGACUAUGGACACCUGCUUGCCAGCCCUGGAUUCAGCAUCCACACUGCCUGUAAAGCCAGGAACACCCUCACUGGGAAAGCGUAGGUGUCUUCCUUUUUAGAAAACAUGUUUCGAAAUAGAAGGGGGCACUCACAGAACUAGUGCUCCCAGAAAACACUACCCAUCCCUACACACACUCAUAACCAGCCCCAGCACACUCAGGUAGCUUGUCACAGCCUCAGAACUUAUGGGCACACAGAUUGAGAGAAGGUCAGAGAUCUCAACCCACUGGGUGCCCCUCGAUCCUCAGCACUACUGUUCACAUCUGGAGUCUCACCUGAACCCGUAAAUCACAGAACAGAAGAUAGAGUAGCUGGCUUUUGGUUUUAGCACAGAUUUCACUCUGAUUACCUGAGGGCCUUCGUCCUUCCCGCUGCCCGCUCCGGUCCAUACUGGCUCCAUGGGUGUUUCUCAGACUUGUUGAUUUGGUUUGUUCUCCUCUGGUCCUAAAUGAAUAAAGAAAAUAUUAAAUGUG